rnacentral:rRNA from 1 species
GAGUUUGAUCCUGGCUCAGGAUGAACGCUGGCGGCGUGCCUAACACAUGCAAGUCGAACGGAGCCUUAACCAAAGAAGCAGCCAGCUUGCUGGAAGCGGAAAAGGGAAAGGCUUAGUGGCGGACGGGUGAGUAACGCGUGGGUAACCUGGCCCAUACAGGGGGAUAACACUUAGAAAUAGGUGCUAAUACCGCAUAACAACAGAAAGCGCAUGCUUUCUGUUUGAAAACCAAGGUGGUAUGGGAUGGACCCGCGUCUGAUUAGCUGGUUGGCGGGGUAAAGGCCCACCAAGGCGACGAUCAGUAGCCGGCCUGAGAGGGUGGACGGCCACAUUGGGACUGAGACACGGCCCAAACUCCUACGGGAGGCAGCAGUGGGGAAUAUUGCACAAUGGGGGAAACCCUGAUGCAGCGACGCCGCGUGAGUGAAGAAGUAAUUCGUUAUGUAAAGCUCUAUCAGCAGGGAAGAAAAUGACGGUACCUGAGUAAGAAGCCCCGGCUAACUACGUGCCAGCAGCCGCGGUAAUACGUAGGGGGCAAGCGUUAUCCGGAUUUACUGGGUGUAAAGGGAGCGUAGACGGCAGUGCAAGUCUGGAGUGAAAGGCGGGGGCUCAACCCCCGGACUGCUCUGGAAACUGUACGGCUGGAGUGC